CUACGGGGCGCUGCAGUUAAGGAUCUUUUGCAAUGCGCGCAAGCGUGACAAAGCGAGCCAGAGUGAUUAUCCAUAUGGAAAAUCUUUUGCUAAAUGUAAAAAGUUUGGCGAAUAAGGACUGGGAAAGAUUGGUGCCAGCCGCCGCGGUAAUACCAACAGUUCAAGUCGCAGCCACAUUUAUUGGGUCUAAAACAUCUGUAGCUUGUUUUGUAAGUUUCUUGUGAAAUCCUAUAUCUUAAAUAUUGGGCGCGCAAGAAAUACUGCAUUGCUUGAGACCGGGAGACGUAAGGAGAAUAAAUAGGGUAACGGUAAAAUGUGUUGAUCCUGUUUAGACUAACAAUAGCGAAGGCACCUUACGAGCACGGAUCUGACAGUGAGAGAUGAAGGCUAGGGUCGCGAAAGGGAUUAGAUACCCUAGUAGUC
rnacentral:rRNA from 1 species